GAGCUAUGAUGAUAAUAAGCAUUUCUGUGACUGUUGGUCAAUCACUAUCAUCCCUUAGAUGAAAAUAUGUGCUUCUGAGCUC
rnacentral:snoRNA from 1 species